UACGUAGGGUGCGAGCGUUAAUCGGAAUUACUGGGCGUAAAGCGUGCGCAGGCGGUCUGUUAAGACCGAUGUGAAAUCCCACGGCUCAACCGUGGAACUGCUCGGUAUACUGCCUGUCUUGUGCAACCUAGGGGCGAGCGGAACAGAUGGUGGAGCGGUGAAAUGCGUAGAUAUCAUCUGGAACGCCAAUGGUGAAAACAGCUCGCUGGGGGUUUGCAGACGCUGAGACACGAAAGCCAGGGGAGCGAACGGG
rnacentral:rRNA from 1 species